rnacentral:rRNA from 1 species
UACAGAGGGUGCGAGCGUUAAUCGGAAUUACUGGGCGUAAAGCGUGCGUAGACGGUUAUUUAAGUCGGGUGUGAAAGCCCCGGGCUCAACCUGGGAAUUGCAUUCGAGACUGAAUAGCUAGGGUACGGUAGAGGGAAGUGGAAUUUCCGGUGUAGCGGUGAAAUGCGUAGAUAUCGGAAGGAACAUCAGUGGCGAAAGCGACUUCCUGGACCAGUACCGACGUCAGGCACGAAAGCGUGGGGAGC